ensembl:lncRNA CPLANE1-AS1 CPLANE1 antisense RNA 1
GUCAGCAGGCGACGCUGGGAGGCUGGGGUAGGCCCAGAGCGAGGACGGGCCCGGACUGGGUAGUGGGGAUGUACCAGGGCCGGGUGCGGCGGGAGACGGCCCGGGAGGCGGAAGGUCGCGGACCUGCCCGACAGAAGAGUAGAUGAGGGGAGACCGAGGACGCCCGGGUCCGGGGAGCUUACGAGGAGGCCAGGAUCGCGGGUUCACGUGGGCACCUUGGAACACUGAAGAAGGCAUUUUCCGAACUCACUGUCCUACGGACUUAUUCUCCGCACUGUUUUCGCCUCCUUCGCCCUGUUCUCGUGACUGACAGGAGCAGGGGUCACAAGCAGGCAGCCCGAGAGCUCUGCUCACCUGGAAAAGCAUUUUUGUGUAGCUUAAAUGUGAAGGCCUCAGGCAGUGGCCUGUUGUCCUCCUCCACAUGCGCCCAUCUUCACUCUUUCAUGUGACUGGCCUGUUUUUGAAGGCAGGACCCUGUCACCCUUGGCUAGGCCAGGUAUGUUCUGCACCGAAAAUGGCCCUGCCCUCUGCAUUGGAUGGCUAGCUCUUAGGUUGGUUUAUUUUAGCAAAUAAGCGUUACAGGGUAGGCGAACUGGCUGCAUCAGAACCACAAUUACCCCUGUGUCUCUGGGUGGGAUAAAUGGCGGAUGGCAUUCUGGCAGCUCAGCCCCACUUAUCUCAGAGGUUAUAGAUCUGAGGUGGUUUAGAUCCACCCCCAAAUCACGAACAUUUUACAUAAGCCGUGCUAGAGUUAGCAUAAAAGUCUCACAGAAAAAUUUGGAAACUGAGAAAUCCUAACCUAUUCCCACAAUCCUGUGUUCCCAUUUUUAGGUCUUAAGAUAUGAAGACAAUGGGAUAACUGAGGCUGAUUUUGCUGUGUGGCCAUUAGACCUAGAAAUAUUGGUGUGAUUCUGGAGUUGAUUGCUCCACACGUUUAUUUAUUUAUUUUCCUUUUUUUCCCUCCUCUUCCUCCUCCUCUAUUCUUUAAAAACGUAUGGAAAUGUAUCCGGCAAUGUUUACUGUAAAAAAUAAUGUAUGGAAAUGACUACAAUUUGCUAAAAUAAAAAUCAUUGAGCACUUA